rnacentral:sRNA from 1 species
UUUUUUUUUGCUUUUCGUCACAAAUCAUUUUUUUUUUUUUUUGGUUUUUUG